rnacentral:tRNA from 1 species
GGUCUUAUGGUGUAUCCUUACAUAUUUAAUUGCAAAUUAAAAGUAGCUUAAAUAAAACAGCUAAGACUU